GUCGAGGAUCUUUUGCAAUGGGCGCAAGCCUGACAAAGCGACGCUGCGUGGAGGAUGAAGGCCUUCGGGUCGUAAACUCCUGUCAUUCGGGAACAAUGUCGUUCCGGUGAAUAUCCGGAGCGAGUGAUGGUACCGGAAGAGGAAGCCACGGCUAACUCUGUGCCAGCAGCCGCGGUAAUACAGAGGUGGCGAGCGUUGUUCGGAUUUACUGGGCGUAAAGGGUGCGUAGGUGGUCCUGUGUGUCGGGUGUGAAAUCCCACGGCCUAACCGUGGAACUGCGCCCGAAACUGCGGGGCUAGAGUGCAGGAGGGGAGAGCGGAAUUCUUGGUGUAGCGGUGAAAUGCGUUGAUAUCAAGAGGAACACCGGCGGCGAAGGCGGCUCUCUAGAAUGCAACUGACACUGAGGCACGAAAGCUGGGGGAGCAAACAGGAUUAGAUACCCUUGUAGUCC
rnacentral:rRNA from 1 species